rnacentral:rRNA from 1 species
UACGGGGGGGGCAAGCGUUGUUCGGAAUUACUGGGCGUAAAGGGCUCGUAGGCGGCCAACUAAGUCGGAUGUGAAAUCCCCAGGCUUAACCUGGGAACUGCAUCCGAUACUGGAUGGCUUGAAUCCGGGAGAGGGAUGCGGAAUUCCAGGUGUAGCGGUGAAAUGCGUAGAUAUCUGGAGGAACACCGGUGGCGAAGGUGGGUCUCUGGGCCGAUACUGACGCUGAGGAGCGAAAGCGUGGGGAGCGAACAGG